AAUUCCUUUUCUCCUUGUCCAAAUUGCACACACACACUCCACAGUCAAAAAGUCAGACUAGUAAACCUUUUUGUUUACACAUUGCCUUUUGUUGUAAAUUUGCAAGUACCGUUUCCUACCAAUUGAAAAGGAGAAUUUUGCAAAAGAAUUUGAAAGAAAAUGAGAUGAUAUGCACUCAUUGUUGUCCCAAUGAUCAAACCACACAUUAUGAGACCGUUUAUUCAAAAGAUUCUCAGAACUGAAAAAAAUGAUUCAUA
rnacentral:misc_RNA from 1 species